CUUUUUAAUCAGUCAUUAGUAUGCGGGUCCCAUCGCAAUUAUUACAAGAUAAGAAUUAAUAUAAUAAUCAAAAUAUCUAGUUUCACGCUUAUCGAGACAAACUGGAUAAUUAUCAACAAUUCAAAUACCCGCAAAACUCCGCCGGACCGACUCCGGGAAAAACCGUACUCCGGAUCGAAAAAGUCAAAACACGAAAAAUGUCCGGAAUAUUCAAAUUAGGCAAAAGGUGAGUUUUGUUGAAACUUCCGGGAAGAAAAUUUGCUACCUCGUUACGAGUGGACGGUUUUUACGGAAAUCAAAUAAUUAAUCAAUAAAUAUAAAUAUACGCCAUUAAAUCCGUAAACCGAUUAUAAAA
rnacentral:lncRNA from 1 species